CCUACGGGAGGCAGCAGUGAGGAAUAUUGGUCAAUGGGCGCGAGCCUGAACCAGCCAAGUCGCGUGAGGGAAGACGGUCCUAUGGAUUGUAAACCUCUUUUGUCGGGGAGCAAAAGACGCCACGCGUGGCGUUCCGAGAGUACCCGAAGAAAAAGCAUCGGCUAACUCCGUGCCAGCAGCCGCGGUAAUACGGGGGAUGCGAGCGUUAUCCGGAUUUACUGGGUGUAAAGGGAGCGUAGACGGCUGUGCAAGUCUGAAGUGAAAGCCCGUGGCUCAACCGCGGAACUGCUUUGGAAACUGUAUAGCUUGAGUACUGGAGAGGCAGGCGGAAUUCCUAGUGUAGCGGUGAAAUGCGUAGAUAUUAGGAGGAACACCAGUGGCGAAGGCGGCCUGCUGGACAGAAACUGACGUUGAGGCUCGAAAGCGUGGGGAGCAAACAGGAUUAGAUACCCGGGUAGUC
rnacentral:rRNA from 1 species